rnacentral:lncRNA from 1 species
CCACCCCCGGAAGGGGGGUUACCAGUAUAAGGUGGGUACGUGCUUGAGGGUGGCGGAAUGGUCACCGGAGGGUUUACUACCGGAGGUGUUAUUCCUGGUGGAUUAUUUGAAGGCGGCGAUACUAUCGGUCGCUCUUUGUGGUGGCCGGGUGGGUGCUUCUUGGAUGGAGGAUGAGGAUGAGGAUGAGGAAUUGUCGGUGUGUUUGGGCGGCGGUAAGGUGGGCUUGGGUAGCGGUAAGGUGGCUGUGGCUGUGAGCAAUAGCCACAAGCCUGCAUUGGCGGCAAUGCCAUUAACAUGAAAAUCAUGAAGAUGAAGAACAUGGCUGUACCCUUAGAACCCAUAACUUUGGGUUCACAGAGGAUUACUAAAUCUUCUUCGCGGCAAAUGAUGAACUUGAUCCUAGGACUUUAUAGCGGAAUUCAAUGAGUCACCCGUGACUAGUGACCUUGAACUGAAAGUGUGAAGGAGGACAAUACGUGGAUAGAACCCCAAGCUCGGAAAUAUAGGCUUUAAUUUGGAAAUUAAAUUGAAAAGUUUGUAGUUUUGCGCUGGAUCGGGAAAACCAAUAACCAAUCCGUGACCGGCCCAAUUCAAUCCGUGAAAGCCUUCGAUUUCAGAACAAGUUCAGUCUCACGGAUUCCCAUUGCUGCGUCUCUUUGUUUUCUUUCGAUAAUUUCACUUCACUUUUAUAUUUCUUUUUAGCCCAUUGCUUUUUCUGGGUUUCUCUCAUUUCUUUGCAUUUCUGUGAUUGAGAAUGAUUUUUUCAUCAUUUCGAGGCAGGGCACUGUAAUUACAGCGAAGCACUUUGUCCUCCCUUUCAAAAACUGUUGGCGGGUUAGAGAGGGAUGGGAGUCUGAACCAAGAUGGUGUACGAGUAAGACUAGGGUUUCCAGGGACACA